UCCUCGGUAGCUCAGUGGUAGAGUGGUCGGAUGUUAACCUAUUGGUCGUAGGUUCAAUUCCUACUUGAGGAG